rnacentral:rRNA from 1 species
AGUGAACGCUGGCGGUAGGCCUAACACAUGCAAGUCGAACGGCAGCACAGUAAGAGCUUGCUCUUACGGGUGGCGAGUGGCGGACGGGUGAGGAAUACAUCGGAAUCUACUUUUUCGUGGGGGAUAACGUAGGGAAACUUACGCUAAUACCGCAUACGACCUACGGGUGAAAGCAGGGGAUCUUCGGACCUUGCGCGAUUGAAUGAGCCGAUGUCGGAUUAGCUAGUUGGCGGGGUAAAGGCCCACCAAGGCGACGAUCCGUAGCUGGUCUGAGAGGAUGAUCAGGAAAACGGGAACGGAGAAAAGGUAAGGACGACUACGGGAGGAAGCAAUAGGGAAUAUGCGACAAUGGGAGAAAGCCUGAAGGAGAAAGGCAGCGGGAAUGAAGAAGGUCUUCGGAUCGUAAAACGCUGUUAUUAGGGAAGAAAAAAUGUGGAAGUAAAAAUGCAAGGCUUGACGGUACCGAAUAAGAAAGCCACGGCUAACUACGUG